AUUUUAACUCACAGACACUGUUUGGACUUUUCUACACGGUGCCAUCUUGCCGGUAUUUGGUGCACAAAGACAUCGUGCAUUAGUUUUAAACAAUACAACAGGGGACACAUUAUACAGUAAUUAUUUUUCAUUCUGUAUAUGUUCUGCGGAAUCUGCAUUAAACUGUAUCUUCCAAACUACUGAACGGAUCUGGGUGAAUUUUGGAUAUGGGGUUCACCCAGAUCCCCCGGUUCCGAGGAUAUACUUUUUUUAUGGGGUUAUUGCAUGUUUUGGGGUCCGUGUGAUAUGUUUUAUAAUACU